rnacentral:rRNA from 1 species
CAGCCGCCGCGGUAAUACGUAGGUGGCAAGCGUUGUCCGGAAUUAUUGGGCGUAAAGGGCUCGCAGGCGGUUUCUUAAGUCUGAUGUGAAAGCCCCCGGCUCAACCGGGGAGGGUCAUUGGAAACUGGGAAACUUGAGUGCAGAAGAGGAGAGUGGAAUUCCACGUGUAGCGGUGAAAUGCGUAGAGAUGUGGAGGAACACCAGUGGCGAAGGCGACUCUCUGGUCUGUAACUGACGCUGAGGAGCGAAAGUGUGGGGAGCGAACAGGAUUAGAUACCCCGGUAGUCCCUGUCUCUUAUAA